UACGUAGGGGACGAGCGUUGUCCGGAAUUACUGGGCGUAAAGGGCGCGCAGGCUGUAGAUCAAGUCAGCUGUGAAAUGUCUGGGCUUAACCCGGGCAUGCGGUUGAAACUGAUGUACUGGAGUGCUGUAGAGGCAAGUGGAAUUCCCAGUGUAGCGGUGAAAUGCGUAGAUAUUGGGAAGAACACCGGUGGCGAAGGCGACUUGCUGGGCAGCAACUGACGCUGAGGCGCGAAAGCCAGGGGAGCAAACGGGAUUAGAUACCCCU
rnacentral:rRNA from 1 species